AGUAGGGUCCAGAUCCACUCUCACCUGGAGUACACGCCCAGGUCUGGAGAGAAGAUAUCCUGUAUGGUGGAACACGCCAGCCUGAGAGAACCUCUGAUGACCCCCUGGGACCCGUCCAUGCCUGAGUCUGACAGGAACAAGAUUGCCAUCGGAGCCUCAGGACUGAGUCUGGGUCUGGUCUUAUCUCUGGCUGGAUUCAUCUACUACAAGAGCAAGACCCGAGGACGGAUUCUGGUUCCCAGUAGCUGAUUCUGGACCUGGUUCUGGUCCUGCAGCUGUUUGUCAGAUGGA